rnacentral:rRNA from 1 species
AUGAGUGGCGGACGGGUGAGUAACACGUGGGUAACCUGCCCAAAAGUGGGGGAUAACAUUUGGAAACAAAUGCUAAUACCGCAUAAAAGUUAGAACCGCAUGGUUCUAAUUUGAAAGAUGGUUUCGGCUAUCACUUUUGGAUGGACCCGCGGCGUAUUAGUUAGUUGGUGAGGUAAUGGCUCACCAAGACGAUGAUACGUAGCCGAACUGAGAGGUUGAUCGGCCACAAUGGGACUGAGACACGGCCCAUACUCCUACGGGAGGCAGCAGUAGGGAAUCUUCCACAAUGGGCGCAAGCCUGAUGGAGCAAUACCGCGUGAGUGAAGAAGGGUUUCGGCUCGUAAAACUCUGUUGUUGGAGAAGAACGUAUGUGAUAGUAACUGAUCAUGUAGUGACGGUAUCCACCCAGAAAGCCACGGCUAACUACGUGCCAGCAGCCGCGGUAAAUACGUAGGUGGCAAGCGUUAUCCGGAUUUAUUGGGCGUAAAGCGAGCGCAGGCGGUUUUUUAAGUCUGAUGUGAAAGCCCUUGGCUCAACCAAGGAAGUGCAUCGGAAACUGGAGAACUUGAGUGCAGAAGAGGACAGUGGAACUCCAUGUGUAGCGGUGAAAUGCGUAGAUAUAUGGAAGAACACCAGUGGCGAAGGCGGCUGUCUGGUCUGUAACUGACGCUGAGGCUCGAAAGCAUGGGUAGCGAACAGGAUUAGAUACCCUGGUAGUCCAUGCCGUAAACGAUGAAUGCUAGGUGUUGGAGGGUUUCCGCCCUUCAGUGCCGCAGCUAACGCAUUAAGCAUUCCGCCUGGGGAGUACGACCGCAAGGUUGAAACUCAAAGGAUAUUGACGGGGGCCCGCACAAGCGGUGGAGCAUGUGGUUUAAUUCGAAGCAACGCGAAGAACCUUACCAGGUCUUGACAUCUAGCGCCAAUCCUAGAGAUAGGACGUUCCCUUCGGGGACGCUAAGACAGGUGGUGCAUGGUUGUCGUCAGCUCGUGUCGUGAGAUGUUGGGUUAAGUCCCGCAACGAGCGCAACCCUUAUUUAUUAGUUGCCAGCAUUCAGUUGGGCACUCUAGUGAGACUGCCGGUGACAAACCGGAGGAAGGUGGGGACGACGUCAAAUCAUCAUGCCCCUUAUGACCUGGGCUACACACGUGCUACAAUGGACGGUACAACGAGUUGCGAACUCGCGAGAGUAAGCUAAUCUCUUAAAGCCGUUCUCAGUUCGGACUGUAGGCUGCAACUCGCCUACACGAAGUCGGAAUCGCUAGUAAUCGCGGAUCAGCAUGCCGCGGUGAAUACGUUCCCGGGCCUUGUACACACCGCCCGUCACACCAUGAGAGUUUGUAACACCCAAAGUCGGUGGGGUAACCUUUUAGGAGCCAGCCGCCUAAGGUGGGACAGAUGAUUAGGGUGAAGUCGUAACAAGGUAGCCGUAGGAGAACC